rnacentral:rRNA from 1 species
AUUGAACGCUGGCGGCAUGCUUUACACAUGCAAGUCGAACGGUAACAGGCCGCAAGGUGCUGACGAGUGGCGAACGGGUGAGUAAUGCAUCGGAACGUGCCCAGUCGUGGGGGAUAACGCAGCGAAAGCUGCGCUAAUACCGCAUACGAUCUAUGGAUGAAAGCGGGGGACCGAAAGGCCUCGCGCGAUUGGAGCGGCCGAUGUCAGAUUAGGUAGUUGGUGGGGUAAAGGCUCACCAAGCCAACGAUCUGUAGCUGGUCUGAGAGGACGACCAGCCACACUGGGACUGAGACACGGCCCAGACUCCUACGGGAGGCAGCAGUGGGGAAUUUUGGACAGUGGGCGCAAGCCUGAUCCAGCAAUGCCGCGUGCAGGAAGAAGGCCUUCGGGUUGUAAACUGCUUUUGUACGGAACGAAACGGUCCGGGUUAAUACCUUGGGCUAAUGACGGUACCGUAAGAAUAAGCACCGGCUAACUACGUGCCAGCCGCCGCUGUAAAAC